rnacentral:rRNA from 1 species
UUUUGCCUACGGGAGGCAGCAGUGGGGAAUAUUGGGCAAUGGGCGCAAGCCUGACCCAGCAACGCCGCGUGAAGGAAGAAGGCUUUCGGGUUGUAAACUUCUUUUAAGGGGGAAGAGCAGAAGACGGUACCCCUUGAAUAAGCCACGGCUAACUACGUGCCAGCAGCCGCGGUAAUACGUAGGUGGCGAGCGUUGUCCGGAUUUACUGGGUGUAAAGGGCGUGCAGCCGGAGAGACAAGUCAGAUGUGAAAUCCACGGGCUCAACCCGUGAACUGCAUUUGAAACUGUUUCCCUUGAGUGUCGGG